AACGAACGCUGGCGGCGCGCCUAAUACAUGCAAGUCGAGCGAGAAGACGUAGCAAUACGUUUGUAAAGCGGCGAACGGGUGAGGAAUACAUGGGUAACCUACCCUCGAGUGGGGAAUAACUAGCCGAAAGGUUAGCUAAUACCGCGUACGCUCCUUGGACUUCGGUUCAGGGAGGAAAGCGAUACCGUGGGUAUCGCGCUCUUGGAUGGGCUCAUGUCCUAUCAGCUUGUUGGUGAGGAACGGCUCACCAAGGCUUCGACGGGUAGCUGGUCUGAGAGGACGAUCAGCCACACUGGCACUGCGACACGGGCCAGACUCCUACGGGAGGCAGCAGUAAGGAAUAUUGCGCAAUGGGCGAAAGCCUGACGCAGCGACGCCGCGUGGGGGAUGAAGGUCUUCGGAUUGUAAACCCCUUUCGUACCCGGACCGAAUAGCCCGCAAGGGACUUGACGGUACGGGUAGAAGAAGCCCGGCUAACUACGUGGCAGCCGCCGCAGUAACACCUGAGACGCCAA
rnacentral:rRNA from 1 species